rnacentral:misc_RNA from 1 species
AGAAGGACCUCCCACUACGCGAAAGACCUCCGCGAGCUCGUUUCGUUGUCAGUUUUUGUUUUUGUUUUUGCUUUUUUUUUGUUCCUCUGUGUGUGUGUGUGUGCCUGGGUGAACGAGACGACCAGAAAAACGGGAGAGAGAGAGGCACCACAACGCACAGCCCUACUGCCGUCAGCGCCUCUCUCUCGCCCCGCCGCGCUUUCCUUUUUUUUUCUUCACCAAAGCGAGUAUGUGAGGAGGGCGGUGCCUCGUUUGCUUUUCGCGCUGCUCUCUCUCUCUCUCUCUCGACACGCCCUGCCGUCCCUGCUGUACCAGUGCACGGGCACGCCUCCACACAAGUAUUUUGACGGCUUUGACAGCCAUCGCCUCUCUCCUACUUCUUUUGUUCUUGGUGCAUGGGAACACUUUUAUUUUUAGCGUUUUCGUCUUGCCGUCGUUUCGUCUUCAGCUCGGUUUCUCUUGUUGUGAACUCUUUUUGCCAUUUUUUCCUUCCUUUUUCUUUGCAUGCAUGCAUGUGCGUGCGUGUGUAUGUGUGUUCCCUUUCCUUCCCUUUCCGCACCUCCCGUUGUGGGUUCUGUUUCGGUUCAUCGAGUUCUGCCUCUCCCGAUUUUCUCUUGGCUGUCGCCUUCUCGUUUGUGCAUUCUUUCUUCGCGGGCUUUUCGCUUGCCCUUUCCGUCCCUUCCACUCUGCCGCUCAUUCCCCUCCCCGCUCCACUUCUCUCUCGCUCAUGUGGCAAUCACCACAGCUCGUGAUGAAUCGCUGCAAAGGCAUCAGCACGCAUCCAUCCGUUACGCCUGUGCUGCUGCUGCUGCUGCUCGUCCUCUGUGCGCCCGUGUCGGCGCAAGGUGGAAGCCUACGCGAUUCGUUUGAUGUCCAAUGCUUUCUUCUACAGACAACUGAGUCGUCCACUGCCGCGCUGAACGCCGUGGACGUAACUGCCCAAAAAGCCUCGAUUACUUGCGCGCGCGAGAUCCUGUCCAGCCCCUUAGCGUGGGCACCAACGGACGGCUCGGGUAGUACGCUGAAUGUGUACAUGUCCACGCUCUCCGACACACUUCUCAGCAGUGUAGUGGCAGCAUCAUCAUCCACCAGCUGCACACUCGUCACAUCCAUAUCUGAAGGCGUACUGGACACGAGGGGGAUGUCUAAAAAUGUGUACUUCACGAACGCAGAUCCUGCAACGGAGAUGUUGGCGCUAAUGUCGUAUGUGAUGAUCAACGGAGCGCCUCCGAAAAUCGGCUUCGUGUACACGAAAACGGCUGAAGGAAAAACCAGUGCCGGUGCUGCGGUGUACCAAGAGUUUUUGAGGCGCAUGGGCGAGCUUGCCUACACUGGCACUCUCGUAACGUAUGAGGCGACCCAGGACUACGAUAGCGCAAAGUUCGCGGCGUUUUCGAAGAAUUUUGAGAGCGGUAUCUCCGUCGUAUUCUUUUUCCUCCCUGCUGGCAGCUCCACAGACAGCAUGUUUGUGGAGCUUAUUAAGAGCUCCGGCGAAGUCCAAGUCCUGAUGCCUUCGUGGCUCAUCCGUACCGCCACCUCCCAGUACCUUGCUGCGACAAGCCCAAAGGUCCCUGCUAGGAACAUAAUUGUGUCCUCCACAAACCCGCACCCCCAAGACAACAACUUUAAAAAAUCAAUGGAUCAGUUCAAAAAAGACUACGGAAACACCAAGCCAGCACUGGCUUCCAGCAGUGUGGAUGGAAUAGAAGCUGUCGCGGGCUGGAUCACGGCGCGUGCAACCGUAGCGACGCUGCAGCACCACACUCUUUGGACCGAGUCGCCAACGCAGAAACUCUAUUUCGACAGGCUGCUCGAGCAGCGCGUCUACACCAUCGGUGGCAAUAUUGUUCUUGGAGCGUACAGCAGCUCGUGCAACGUCGGCGGUCGCAUGGUGCUCUUGUACUCCUUAAGAGCGAUGAAUGAUGGAGAACCCAGCGCUUACUACGGACUGACGUCGAUACCGGGUGCGAGUCUGAUGCUGAAGCCAUGGGAAUGCCACGCGGUGGAUGUCGCGUUGAACAUCAGCAAGAUGGUGCGCGCGGCUUACGUGAAGUAUCACAGCGUUGGCGAAAAUGCCAACUACAUGACCACGCAAAUGGAUAACAUGAUUCCAGCCGCAAUGGCCUCAGCCAUCUUCACCAAAGCCACCAUUGGUCCCUUGGACAAUCUAGCUGAUACUACCUGGAAAGCAGCUCUCGACAAGUCGCCAACCAUAGCCGUGUUUGGGGCCGCCUCCGCAGGUGUUGACAAGAGCCCCGUGGAGAAGGUUUUGGUGGAACCUGUAUUUCUGCAGCCGACUCUUUACCAAAAUGCGAGCAACGUCGUCUACCUGACGGCGACUAACGAGCAGCAGUUGGGUGCGGUGGCAACGUGGGUGGCGAAGUCGGCCGUCGCCCCGGAUGUGUACGCGGUGCUGCGGAACUCCGGCGCCUCAGCAACUGCGAUGCAGAGCACGCUGCAACGAAUCACGACGCGCGCCGGUGUUACCGUGAAAUCUGUAAAAACGCUAGGUGCCGGUGACAAACUGUCGUCAAGUGACCUUCCGAAAUCCGGCCUUGUGUUGCUGACUGGAAUCAUGCAGAGCGACAUUGGCACACUGCAGAAGCACAUGCAAAGCAACACGGAUACACGUGUGAUACUCCUGUUCGACGAAGUGACGCAGUGGUACCGUGAAAUCGAAAAAGUGUUCGCCGCCAGGCCCUCCUCCGGUGAGCGCCUGCUUUUUGUAACGAACCUGCCACCCUGGACGCCCAAGAAGCGGGACAUAUCGAGGCUGUCUGCGGACUUUCUCGCAGCUACCAUUGGGCCAGGCUACCACUCACCAGCCUCGAUGAGAGGCUUUCUCGCGGUGCGCGCGCUCAGCAUGCUGAGUUACAAUGCCGCAAACCCAUCAAUAAGUGCGCUCUUGGAUGCACUCUAUACGCAACAAGUCCUGCAGAUGAAUGACCUCACACUGGGCCCUUUCAAGCGUACGGGAUGUGCUUACUCGCCGAGGAGCAACCAAGUGGAGUGCGCGGGCGUCUUAAACGGCGGUGCGGGCGGAAUCUACAUUUGGUCGUACUCGGACAUGAAGGGGGAAACGAAUGGGCCGAUCGCUGGGCCAUACGUUGUCAACCUCUUCGGCUACGUCGACGCCCACUUUGAGGACAGCAGCAGCUCUGGAGACGCGCGCAGCAGCAGCUCGAAGUCAACUAUCAUCGCCUCCGUGGCCGUGUGCGUGGUCGUCAUGGCAGCGGUGGCCGCCGCUGCCAUCAUCUGCGUCUUAUGCACUCGUGACAGCCGCGACAACCGCAACGCACCGAGGGACGAAAACGAGCCAGUGACGCUCAUAUUCACGGAUAUCGAGAGCAGCACAGCGCUCUGGGCGACAGCGCCGCAGGCCAUGUCGAGUGCGGUGGCGCUGCAUCACAAGCUGAUUCGCCAGCUGGUUACCAAGUACAAGUGCUACGAGGUCAAGACGAUCGGCGAUUCUUUCAUGAUUGCUUGCAAGCAGUCGUUUGCCGCUGUGCAACUUGCGCGAGACAUACAGGUGGAGCUCCACCAGGCUGACUGGGGCUCGACGGCGAUCGACGACGCCUACGAGUUGAUUGGAAAGCGCAGCGGCGGCACCGACCCCGGCGAGUGCGGGUUGAGGCCGUGGAGCGGCCUACGUGUUCGUGCUGGUGUCCAUCGUGGCCUGGCGGAGGUGCGCUUUGACGAUGUGACCAAAGGCUACGAUUACUACGGCAACGUCGUCAAUACAGCCGCGCGCACGGAGAGCGUCAGUUGCGGUGGACAGGUGAUCUGCACCUCGAGCGUGGUGGAAGCCCUCACCGAGGAGGAGCAGGGUACGGUGCAGUUUGUGGCCCUUGGUCCGCACCAGCUACGCGGGGUCGCGGAGCCAAUAGAGAUGUACGAACUGCGCACCGUGCCCGGACGCGUCUUUCCUUCCAAGGAAAGCGAUAUCGGCGCGAAUCCGCUGGCAUCGCUCGCCGCGGGCGCCGACGCCGACGGUGCCCCCAACGCAGAGGAGGGCAAUCCGAUGCUGGUGCAGGAGGAUGCCUUCACCAAGGUGGCGGCGGGUGUCGAGCCUGUGGCAGAGGUGCUGGACGUGUACUUCAGCGUCUACACGAACCAUCAGAAGAUCAAGCUCCUCCAGAAGACGUGCAAAUACUUUUGCUUGCCUAGUCCUCCGCGUCGGAUGUUCGCGUCCAACGAGGCCUACCUCAACUCCUUGAUGCUGACGGUGGCCACGCGCACAUCAGCCGUGAUCGACUUCCGCCACAGGAAGCUGGAGAGUGAAAUGCUUCGCUCGGCGGCUGAAAACCAGGCCAACGCCCCGGCAAUAGAGUCGGUGGCCCACCAAGAUGCAGCAGCGGAGCUGCGCCGGCACAGCAGCGUCUUCUUCAGCGGUGUGGACUCGCCGGUUGCAGGGGAGUCGAAGCUGCGGCGCAGCGUGAUGAUUGACCUGCCUGGGGCGAGUCUGCCGAGGCACGGCAAUUCGGAUGGCACUAUGAUGUUGGUGAUGGACAACGGCGAGCUGCUGACGUUGUGCAGCAGCGCCGGACCAAGUUACACUGAGAAGCCGCUGGAGGUCAGUGAGGCGACAAAAGUCUACAAGAACGGCGCCCCAAGCAUCAGCGGCGAUGAAGCGAGCCCCUGCUUUGAGGGUGGUAACGGGCUGCUCUUCCGCAUUAUCGACAAGGCGACGAAGCGGUGGGCUUUCUACAAUGACACCACCGACUUCGUCAUGCAUGUCUACUUCUCUGUCGGCCGCACGAGCGCGGUGAAGUGGGGCCCGGGUGUUGCUGGAAAAGUCACGCAGGCGGAGGAAACAGGUCGGUACGAGGGUGAACUGAUCGUGCCGCCCCUUGCAACGGAAGUGCUCAUGACGGGACGCGUUAACGGAUAUACCAUGCGGUACUGCGCGAUGCCGUCCGGCAACGGCGAGUAGCGCUGGCGUGCGUUUCUGUGAGCUGUUAGUGGUGUUGCCACUCAACUGUGAAUGAGGCUUUCCGGAGCUGCUCGCUCUCAUCUACACCGCAGCCGCCCCCAGCCCCUUCGCUCUCCAUCCAGGUCUCCGUCAUCUUACUUUCUUCAUGUUCCUCUAGACUUCGUCAUGGCAAUGCAAAGCCGCGCACGUGAAUCUCCCAGGCGUGUCGGAACUUUCGCUCAAGCUGGUGGGUCGAUGCGCGUAUGCGUGCCUGUCUCAGUCGAUAUUCAUGUACAAGGCUCACGAACGUCUCGGCGUGGUGCAUUCUUGUAUUCUUUUUUGUUUUUUUUUCUCUGUGUCUGCUGAAAAGCUGUGCCAUGGGGUGCUGCUGUCGUUUUGCGCACGUCAUCGACGACGACACGAGGUCACUCAUGUUCAAAAAGGAAAGGAGAAUAAACUGAUAGAAGAUUUCUCUCUCCGAUGUACUAUACAACCUCCCUUACAUGGUCGCCUUCACCAGCACUACCCAUCAACCUCGAAAGCAGCCUACACAUAAAGAGGAUGAUCCGAUUGAGCAAUACGUGAGUUCUGGUUCAUAACUCGAAGUCGCUGCUGGCCUUUAGCGUAUACGUGUGUGCUUGUGUCCUUUUAAGUAGUUGACCAUCUGCUGUCUCUCCGUGUAUGUGUAUGUGUAGUUUAUGCUGUAGUAUGGGGAGUCUGGAGCGUCACGUUCUCUAUGUAUACCUUUUUUUUCCUCCGUUGCCUUUGCCUUCGUGCACACAGACACACGCACAAGGGCGCAAAAAUAGCACAUGCGUGCACAUACAUACAUAUAUAUAUAUACAUUAUGUGUCUCCUCCAUCUCCACCUCUCUCCUACUUUUUUGUAGUUUUGAGUCUCUAUGUGUGUGUACGUGUGCUUGCGUGUUCCCCUCCUCACCACCACUCCAUCCCUCACCCUCACGCUCCUCCCUUCGCUACCUCCUCUCUUCCUCAGGGUCUCUUUGCCGUUCUGUAUUCCUCAGCUGUUUUUUUUUUUCGUGUGCCCUUGUUGUUUCCUCCCACGCUCACGCCGCUUUUCCUUUUUUGUUCGUUCCCCAAAUACCCGCUCAUUCCAGCCGUUUGUUGUGUCCUAUAGGUAGAUAUAUAAUGGUUUCAUGCAGAUAACUGAGAAAACGAAGAAGUGCGACAAAAUCAUUUGGUGUAUGAGUGCGUCUGUGGGUUAAGGUACAUGCCGCGUAGACUUUUAACCCCCACCCCCACCCCUCCAGUGCUGCGGACACACGGAGAAGCAGAGGCACGGAAACCUCGCAGUUGAUCAUGCCCGCUUUCUUCUUCCUGUCUUACGGCGCUCACCUGAGAUUAUAGCAUUUGUGGGUAGCAGUGUUGUGUGUACAGGUUAAAAUAUAUAUGACUAAAUUCAAGGGCGAUUAGGGAACACACACACACGUGCGUACGUACGCAGAGACGGUGAAGAGCUCCCCGGCGACUUCUUUUUUAUAGUGAGCGUGUGUGUAUGUGUGUCUGGGGGAAGUGUCUUUGUGAGGGGGUCGAGCUCUGUUUGGUUUCUCGGUUUCGCCUCGACACCUUCUCUCCUGCCCUCUCCCGCGGCCACGGCACACCUUAUAUAUAUAUAUAUAUAUGCAUUACUUUGUGUGUGUUUUCGCAUCUGUCCGCGCAUACUUACCAGCCUCACUCGUGCCUAGGAAAGUUCAUUUUGCGCUCCUCACCCCCCCGCCUUGCAUACACAUGCACACGCGCGCACACGCACACGAGCACCGACUCCAGUGAACCGGAGAAGGUGAGGAAAUAGUAAUAGCAAUUGUGUACUGCGCGCAUGUGUGAACUCCCCAUUACUGCAUGGAUGCAUGUGAUGUCGUCGAGUCCUUAGUUCGAUUUUGGCUUUGGUUGGCCCCCAUAUUCCUCUCUCUCUCUCCAGUGGAACUCGUCUAAACCUCGUGCUUGACCUGUUUUUUUUUUUCGUGCGUGAGGGUGUACGCAUGUAGGCGCAAAGUCCAACGGUGAGCAAUGAAAGCGUGCCGAGCAACGUUUGAAUAAAACGCAAGCGAAGAUCGCACAAAGCGAAGCGCACAUCAUUACGUGCUUGUGAACGUGAACAACGAGGCCGGGACGAAAGCAAGGUAGGAUUGUGCGCACGGAGCCAUGUGGGUACACGUGAGUGGGACUGGAACUUUUUGUCCCCUCGCGCCCCCUCUUCUCCCAUCUUCUGUUUACACCUCUGAGCAAGCAACAAGGGUCUCUCGAGAUGGUGAAGUCCUGUCGCUCCGCAAACGUAAGCGCCCCACCAAUAAUGUUUUCGAAGAAAGCCUGCCCCCUCGCCUACUCUCUUUUUUUUCCUUCUGCCUGUAUUUAG